GAUGAAGAACGUAGCGAAAUGCGAUAAGUAAUGUGAAUUGCAGAAUUCAGUGAAUCAUCGAAUCUUUGAACGCACAUUGCGCCCGCCAGUAUUCUGGCGGGCAUGCCUGUUCGAGCGUCAUUACAACCCUCAGGCCCCCGGGCCUGGCGUUGGGGAUCGGCGGAAGCCCCCUGCGGGCACAACGCCGUCCCCCAAAUACAGUGGCGGUCCCGCCGCAGCUUCCAUUGCGUAGUAGCUAACACCUCGCAACUGGAGAGCGGCGCGGCCACGCCGUAAAACACCCAACUUCUGAAUGUUGACCUCGAAUCAGGUAGGAAUACCCGCUGAACUUAAGCAUAUCCAAUAAGCGGAGGA
rnacentral:misc_RNA from 1 species